CCUACGGGUGGCAGCAGUAGGGAAUAUUGCUCAAUGGGGGAAACCCUGAAGCAGCAACGCCGCGUGGAGGAUGAAGGUUUUCGGAUUGUAAACUCCUUUUGUUAGAGCAGAUAAUGACGGUAUCUAACGAAUAAGCACCGGCUAACUCCGUGCCAGCAGCCGCGGUAAUACGGAGGGUGCAAGCGUUGCUCGGAAUCACUGGGCGUAAAGAGCGCGUAGGCGGGAUGGUAAGUCAGAUGUGAAAUCCUAUGGCUUAACCAUAGAACUGCAUUUGAAACUGUCAUUCUAGAGUAUGGGAGAGGUAGGUGGAAUUCCUGGUGUAGCGGUAAAAUGCGUAGAGAUCAGGAGGAAUA
rnacentral:rRNA from 1 species